CUACGUAGGGGGCGAGCGUUGUCCGGAAUGAUUGGGCGUAAAGGGCGCGUAGGCGGCCCGGUAAGUCUGGAGUGAAAGUCCUGUUUUUAAGAUGGGAAUUGCUUUGGAUACUGUCGGGCUUGAGUGCAGGAGAGGUAAGUGGAAUUCCCAGUGUAGCGGUGAAAUGCGUAGAGAUUGGGAGGAACACCAGUGGCGAAGGCGACUUACUGGACUGUAACUGACGCUGAGGCACGAAAGUGUGGGGAGCAAACAGGAUUAGAUACCCUGGUAGUCCACACUGUAAACGAUGAAUGCUAGGUGUAGGGGGUAUCGACCCCUUCUGUGCCGCAGUCAACACAAUAAGCAUUCCGCCUGGGGAGUACGGCCGCAAGGUUGAAACUCAAAGGAAUUGACGGGG
rnacentral:rRNA from 1 species